rnacentral:rRNA from 1 species
AGAAGGCACACCCGGAGAACUGAAACAUCUUAGUACCCGGAGGAAGAGAAAGAAAAUUCGAUUCCCUUAGUAGCGGCGAGCGAAACGGGAAGAGCCCAAACCAACAAGCUUGCUUGUUGGGGUUGUAGGACACUCUAUACGGAGUUACAAAGGACGACAUUAGACGAAUCAUCUGGAAAGAUGAAUCAAAGAAGGUAAUAAUCCUGUAGUCGAAAAUGUUGUCUCUCUUGAGUGGAUCCUGAGUACGACGGAGCACGUGAAAUUCCGUCGGAAUCUGGGAGGACCAUCUCCUAAGGCUAAAUACUCUCUAGUGACCGAUAGUGAACCAGUACCGUGAGGGAAAGGUGAAAAGCACCCCGGAAGGGGAGUGAAAUAGAACCUGAAACCGUGUGCUUACAAGUAGUCAGAGCCCGUUAAUGGGUGAUGGCGUGCCUUUUGUAGAAUGAACCGGCGAGUUACGAUUUGAUGCAAGGUUAAGCAGUAAAUGUGGAGCCGUAGCGAAAGCGAGUCUGAAUAGGGCGUUUAGUAUUUGGUCGUAGACCCGAAACCAGGUGAUCUA